GGUCAAGUAAUUAAGCGCACACGGUGGAUGCCUUGGCGAUAACAGGCGAUGAAGGACGUGGUAGUCUGCGAAAAGCUUCGGAGAGUCGACAAACAGGCUGUGAUCCGAAGAUGUCCGAAUGGGGAAACCCACCUCUUAGAGGUAUUUACACCUGAAUCUAUAGGGUGUAGAGGCGAACCUAGGGAACUGAAACAUCUAAGUACCUAGAGGAAAAGAAAUCAACCGAGAUUCCGUUAGUAGCGGCGAGCGAACGCGGAACAGCCCAGUCACAUAAAACUUAAUACGUUUAGCAGAACGACUUGGAAAAGUCGGCGAUACAGGGUGAUAGUCCCGUAUGCGAAAAGCAUGUUAAGUGGGUGACUAAAAAGUAAGGCGGGACACGUGAUAUCCUGUCUGAAGAAUCUCCUUCGGGAGAGUGGGGGGACCAUCCUCCAAGGCUAAAUACUCGUUAUCGACCGAUAGUGAACUAGUACCGUGAGGGAAAGGCGAAAAGAACCCCUGUUAGGGGAGUGAAAUAGAACCUGAAACCGUGUGCGUACAAGCAGUGGGAGCAUAGUUUAGCUAUGUGACUGCGUACCUUUUGUAUAAUGGGUCAGCGACUUACUUUCAGUGGCAAGCUUAACCGAAUAGGGGAGGCGUAGGGAAACCGAGUCUUAAUAGGGCGAAUUAGUCGCUGGGAGUAGACCCGAAACCGAGCGAUCUAUCCAUGGUCAGGGUGAAGAUGGGGUAAUUCCUAUUGGAGGCCCGAACCCACUUAUGUUGAAAAAUGAGGGGAUGAACUGUGGAUAGGAGUGAAAGGCUAAUCAAGCUCGGAGAUAGCUGGUUCUCCUCGAAAGCUAUUUAGGUAGCGCCUCGUGUCUCACUCUCGGGGGUAGAGCACUGUUACGGCUAGGGGGCCAUCUCGGCUUACCAAACCGUUGCAAACUCCGAAUACCGAGAAGUGCAAUCACGGGAGACACACGGCGGGUGCUAAGGUCCGUCGUGGAAAGGGAAACAGCCCAGACCGCCAGCUAAGGUCCCAAAAUCAUGGCUCAGUGGGAAACGAUGUGGGAAGGCAUAGACAGCCAGGAGGUUGGCUUAGAAGCAGCCAUCCUUUAAAGAAAGCGUAAUAGCUCACUGGUCUAGUCGGCCUGCGCGGAAGAUUUAACGGGGCUUAAGCCAUGUACCGAAGCUGCGGAUACCCCUUUAGGGGUAUGGUAGAGGAGCGUUCUGUAAGCCUGUGAAGGUGUGUUGUAAGACAUGCUGGAGGUAUCAGAAGUGCGAAUGCUGACAUGAGUAGCGAUAAUGAGUGUGAAAGACAUUCACGCCGAAAGUCCAAGGUUUCCUCGCGCAACGUUAAUCGGCGCAGGGUGAGUCGGCCCCUAAGGCGAGGCAGAAAUGCGUAGUCGAUGGGAAACAGGUUAAUAUUCCUGUACUUCAGGUUAUUGCGAAGGGGGGACGGAGAAGGCUAGACCAUCAGGAGAUUGGUUGUUCCUGUUCAAGGUUGUAGGCAGAGUACUUAGGUAAAUCCGGGUACUUAAUGCUGAGAACUGACGACGAGGUCUCUUUUUAGAGUACCGAAGUGGUUAAUGCCAUGCUUCCAAGAAAAGCCUCUAAGCCUCAGAUAACUUGGAACCGUACCCAAAACCGACACAGGUGGACAGGGUGAGAAUCCCAAGGCGCUUGAGAGAACUCGGGUGAAGGAACUAGGCAAAAUAGCACCGUAACUUCGGGAGAAGGUGUGCCCUUGGUACGUGAAAGGACUUGCUCCUGGAGCGGAAGAGGGUUGCAGUGACCAGGUGGCUGCGACUGUUUAUUAAAAACAUAGCACUCUGCAAACACGAAAGUGGACGUAUAGGGUGUGACGCCUGCCCGGUGCCGGAAGGUUAAUUGAUGAUGUUAGGGCAACCGAAGCAUUUGAUCGAAGCCCCGGUAAACGGCGGCCGUAACUAUAAAUAUAAUGACCGAUUGUAGUUACGCUAAAAAACUUGGCUAUAUGCUGGAAACGCCGAAGUAUCCUCCAGUACUCGUCUCAAGAUGAGACAGUGACAAUCUGUGAGGUGCGGUCAAUCAGCAGGAAAGAUUUCUAAAAUAAUAGAAUACUAUUAUGUUAAAGGUAAACGAAAUUCCUAAUCAAAUUGGUUAUUACCUUGCCGGUUUUACCGAUGGCGAGGGGAGUUUUAAUAUAUCCUUUCGUAAAAGGAAAGAUUAUCAGAUGCCGUGGAAAAUUUCACUGUGUUUUAAUGUAUCGCAGCGUGACAAAGUCAUUUUAGCUUUGUUCAAGCAACAUUUAAAAUGUGGUACGUUACGCAGUAGAGACGAUGGUGUUUGGUAUUAUGAAGUCAAUAACCUAAAUUCUAUCAACGAAAAUGUUAUUCCUUUUUUCAAAAAAUUUGGUUUUUUAUCUGCCAAAAAAAAACGUGAUUUUGCUAAAUUUAAAAAGUUGGCAAUUAUGUUGAAUAAUGGAGAACAUUUAACUGAAGAUGGAUUGAAAAAUAUCCUUAAAAUCAGAAAAGAUAUGAAUGAUGGUGGUGCAGGAAGACGAAAGUAUUCUGAAACAGAUAUUUUAAAUGAAAUGAAUUUGGGAAAAUCCUCAGAGACUACACGCCAAGCAAACACGAAAUGAAAUAAUAUUGCCGCUAAUUUCGUGGAUGAUGAUAUAGUCCGGUCUCUAUAGCGAUAUAGAGGGCUUAAAUGUAUUUUUUAAGUCGCAUUAGAUAUUUUAAAUAUCUGCUGUAACAUGACGAACGGUCCUAAGGUAGCGAAAUUCCUUGUCGGGUAAGUAACUUGCCCCACUAUCUCGUGAGAGAUAGACGAAAAAACCAGCUCAUAUCGGAGAAACCUUCAUAUCUGUGCAAGAUAAAGGCAAUUCCGAGGGAAGUCUUAGUGACCCCGUAACGACUGAACCGAAAGGUGAGGCACAUGAAAUUGUGUGCAAUACGCUGGUUUCUCAUCUCUAUAUAUAAUAUAUAGAAUAGAGGGAUCUAUGGAGAACAAAAAUCUACAGCCUUGGUUUGUAACAGGGUUGGUUGAUGGAGAAGGUUGUUUUUCUGUUUCAUUUACCUUACGUAAAAGAUUAAAAAUAGGUAUAGAAACCCGCCCUUCUUUUUCAAUAUCUCUAAAUCGUAGAGAUUUGGUUUUGAUUAAAAAAGUACAUACAUUUUUUGGAUGUGGUGCUGUUAGAUAUUCAAAGUCAGAUAGGACUUACAAAUAUGAAGUCCGUUCUAUAAAGGAUUUAAUCACAAAAAUAUUACCACAUUUUAAACGGUAUUCUUUGCAAGGUGAUAAAUCUAAAGAUUUCACGAUUUUCCAAGAGAUAUGUAAAGAUAUUCAUGCUAAUCAUCAUUUGAGCAAGAAGUUUUUGUCGAAUAUUAUUAGCAAGGCUUAUGAAAUGAAUCCUUCAGGAAAAAGGAAACAUGAAAAAGCUGAACUCCUAAGGAUGCUAGGUGAGAUAAUGGUAUAGUCUAUAGCCUAUAGAAAUAUAGGGAAUAAUAUGAAGUUCCGACCUGCACGAAUGGCGUAACGAUGGCCACGCUGUCUCCACCCGAGACUCAGCGAAAUUGAAUUUGCUGUUAAGAUGCAGUAUACCCGCGGCUAGACGGAAAGACCCCGUGAACCUUUACUAUAGCUUUACACUGGACUUUGAGCCUGCCUGUGUAGGAUAGGUGGGAGGCUUUGAAACCUUGACGCUAGUUGAGGUGGAGCCAUCCUUGAAAUACCACCCUGGCAUGUUUGGGGUUCUAACUUAGACCCGUUAUCCGGGUUGAGGACAGUGUAUGGUGGGUAGUUUACCUGGGGCGGGUUCCUCCAAAAAAGUAACGGAGGAGUGCGAAGGUACCCUCAGCACGGUCGGAAAUCGUGCAUUGAGUGCAAAGGCAUAAGGGUGCUUAACUGUGAGACAGACAAGUCGAACAGGUACGAAAGUAGGUCUUAGUGAUCCGGUGGUUCUGUAUGGAAGGGCCAUCGCUCAACGGAUAAAAGGUACUCCGGGGAUAACAGGCUGAUUCCUCCCAAGAGUUCACAUCGACGGGGGAGUUUGGCACCUCGAUGUCGGCUCAUCACAUCCUGGGGCUGUAGUCGGUCCCAAGGGUAUGGCUGUUCGCCAUUUAAAGUGGUACGCGAGCUGGGUUUAGAACGUCGUGAGACAGUAAAUGACCUUGCUGUCUAAAAAUUUAGCUAAAUGCUGGAAAAACCGAGUAUCCACAUCUACUUCUUAAAUCCUCAUGUAAGAAGUGAUAAUGAUUGUGGUGCGGUCAAUCAGCAGGAAAGAUCAAGGUUAAAAAUGGAUAAUCAUUACAUUGCCGGAUUCGUGGAUGGUGAAGGGAGUUUCCAUGUUGCCUUUCAAAAGAAUCUGAGUGUAAGAUUAGGUUGGCAGGCAGUGCCUGAAUUUCAGAUAAGCCAAAAUUGGCACGCGGAGCGGGUGUUGCAGCUCAUUCAAGAAAUGUUGGAUUGUGGUUACAUUAAACAAAACCACAUUAAAAAUGAGCGUGAUAGAACACUUGUAUUCGUAGUCAGAAAUAGAAACGAUCUAUUACAAAAGAUUAUUCCAUUUUUUGAUAAGUAUCCUUUGUACACAGAGAAGAAAAAUGACUUUAUUCGAUUCAAACAGAUUGUGAAAAUGAUGGAUCGAGGCGAUCAUCUUUCGAUUGAUGGAUUCUCUGAAAUUGUUGAGUUAGCUUACUCAAUGAAUGCAAAUGGUUCUUAUAGAAAAGUUAAGAAAGAAAAAAUAUUAACUACCUUGAAAUCCUCAGAGGCCAUACGCUAGACGCAACAUAAAAUGUUGUGAAGAUAUGGUCCGAACCAUAUAGCGAUAUAUGGAUUCCGUGAAAAAGAGUAGCGGAACGCCAUUACUUGGUAAUGGUCAGUAAACUCUAUACUAUGAGUUGAAAGUAACAGAUUUGUCGGUCCCUAUCUACCGCGGGCGUUGGAAAUUUGAGAAGAGCUGCUUCUAGUACGAGAGGACCGAAGUGGACGUACCUCUGGUGUUCCAGUUAUCAUGCCAAUGGUAUUGCUGGGUAGCUAUGUACGGACGGGAUAACCGCUGAAAGCAUCUAAGCGGGAAGCCUCCUUCAAGAUUAGAUUUCCCGACCCUUUAUGGGUCCUCAAGGUCCGUUGAAGACUACGACGUUGAUAGGCGGGAUGUGGAAGUGCAGUAAUGUAUGAAGCUAACCCGUACUAAUUGACCGUGAGGCUUGACCCU
rfam:Candidatus Thiomargarita nelsonii contig_1113, whole genome shotgun sequence.